rnacentral:lncRNA from 1 species
CAUUGUUUGAGGAUUUCUCGACCAUAUUUUUGGACAGUCGUGAACAUGAUGACCUUUGACUCCGCAACGGAAACAAGCAAAAACACGAUAAUAAUAAUCUAUGUUUUUGUAGAAACUACGUUGAAUCUGGUUAAGUCGUUCGAGUCGUUCAUAUCGUUCGACGAUUGCAAGUAGUUGACUCAUUUUUUACUGAAAAAAAGAAAUAUUUAUAAUAAACAUGAUAUUACAUUCAAAAUAUUAAAUUAUAUUGUAAUGUAAUAUUUUAUAAUUUAAUUACAACAAUCAUCAUUAUCGACAUCGAAAAUAUCUCUAUUUGGUAUUUUAAGGACGGAACUCCAUUCAGAUUCUACCGGAUCUUGAAUGUAGAAACAUUGUUGAGCCAGAUUUGCCAAAAUGAAAGGUUCUUUUCCAAAUUUUCCCCGUGUCGUAUUCACUGAAAC